GAUGAACGCUGGCGGCGUGCUUAACACAUGCAAGUCGAACGGGAAACCUUUUAUUGAAGCUUCGGCAGAUUUAGCUGGUUUCUAGUGGCGGACGGGUUAGUAACGCGUGGGUAACCUGCCUUGUACAGGGGGAUAGUAGUCAGAAUUGACUGCUAAUACCGCAUAAGCGCACGGAGGUGAAUGGCUCAGUGUGAAAAACUCCGGUGGUAUAAGAUGGACCCGCGUUGGAUUAGCUAGUUGGUGAGGUAACGGCCCACCAAGGCGACGAUCCAUAGCCGGCCUGAGCGGGUGAACGGCCACAUUGGGACUGAGACACGGCCCAGACUCCUACGGGAGGCAGCAGUGGGGAAUAUUGCACAAUGGGGGAAACCCUGAUGCAGCGACGCCGCGUGAAGGAAGAAGUAUCUCGGUAUGUAAACUUCUAUCAGCAGGGAAGAAAAUGACGGUACCUGACUAAGAAGCCCCGGCUAACUACGUGCCAGCCGCCGCUGUAA
rnacentral:rRNA from 1 species